UCGUGCUAGGCGGGGAGGUAGCGGUGCCCUGUACUCGCAAUCCGCUAUAGCGAGGCUGAAUCCCUUUCCGAGGUCGCUCGCGCACUUGGCCUGACCUUCGUAAGUGGUGUUGACAUUUGGGUUCCGCGCAACGGAAACCCGUGAACCCUGUCAGGUCCGGAAGGAAGCAGCAGUAAGCGGGUCCUUCCGUGUGCCGCGGAGUUGCCUGGAUCGAGCAAACUGCGGAGGUAACGCAAGUGCAACAGUGAUCGAAGAAAGGUGCACGG
rnacentral:SRP_RNA from 3 species